AAAAUAAAUAAAUGAAAUCUUAAGGAAGUAUGUUUUUUAUUUUAUGGGAAAAAAACCCUAGACUUUGGCCAAGUUAAUAUACUGGAGACCAACUGUCACCUGACGUGUGUAUAUAAGGAACAUUUGAAAUGAUGGAUGUUUUGAAUUAUAGAAAUUUUUUGAGUGGUGAGGAAUUUGGAAUGUUCUUUUUCUCAUUUAAUCCAAAUUUACUUUCCCCAGCC